rnacentral:rRNA from 1 species
CUUAGGACCGUUAUAGUUACGGCCGCCGUUUACUGGGGCUUCAAUUCGCACCUUCGCUUACGCUAAGCGCUCCUCUUAACCUUCCAGCACCGGGCAGGCGUCAGCCCCUAUACUUCGCCUUACGGCUUCGCAGAGACCUGUGUUUUUGCUAAACAGUCGCCUGGGCCUAUUCACUGCGGCUUCUCGGGGCUUUAACACCCUAAGAAGCACCCCUUCUCCCGAAGUUACGGGGUCAUUUUGCCGAGUUCCUUAACGAGAGUUCUCUCGAUCACCUUAGGAUUCUCUCCUCGCCUACCUGUGUCGGUU